AUUGUGGUCAUUUCAGCUUGUUUAGCGCGAAUGUGUGAAUGUGAGUAGAAGAAGAGGAUGCUACAUGCUAUCGCCAGAAGUUGUCAAACUCGGGACAUAUCAGGUAAACUUGACAGGCCUGCCUGGUUGGCGUUGCCUACAAGAACUGCUGACAGGCGACACGUCACAGUUGGCCAGGUGACCCUUCUGAAGAAGACUGCAGAUGACAGUCGAAACAUGUCAGCUGUGUAACAGGAAGUGGAACAACGCUGAUUGGACAUUCAUUUCGUCGUGAGGAGACUGACUUUCACGACGAUGGAACGGGAGUGCCAGGAGAUCUCUCCCGAUGCCACCACCUUCAAAGAAUAUGCUUCUCGUUAGGGGGGAGGACACGUCCAUGGCCGAGAGGUAUAAGCCGACUGAGUGCAGCUAUAAAAAGUCAAAAGUUCUCCUAUAACAACACACUUUCC